CGGCGGACGGGUGAGUAACGCGUGGGUAACCUGCCUUAUACAGGGGGAUAACAGUUAGAAAUGACUGCUAAUACCGCAUAAGCGCACGGGAACGCAUGUUUCUGUGUGAAAAACUGAGGUAGUAUAAGAUGGACCCGCGUCUGAUUAGCUGGUUGGUGGGGUAACGGCCUACCAAGGCGACGAUCAGUAGCCGGCCUGAGAGGGUGACCGGCCACAUUGGGACUGAGACACGGCCCAAACUCCUACGGGAGGCAGCAG
rnacentral:rRNA from 1 species